rnacentral:rRNA from 1 species
AGUGAACGCUGGCGGUAGGCCUAACACUUGCAAGUCGAACGGCAGCACAGUAAGAGCUUGCUCUUACGGGUGGCGAGUGGCGGACGGGUGAGGAAUACAUCGGAAUCUACUUUUUCGUGGGGGAUAACGUAGGGAAACUUACGCUAAUACCGCAUACGACCUACGGGUGAAAGCAGGGGAUCUUCGGACCUUGCGCGAUUGUAUGAGCCGAUGUCGGAUUAGCUAGUUGGCGGGGUAAAGGCCCACCAAGGCGACGAUCCGUAGCUGGUCUGAGAGGAUGAUCAGCCACACUGGAACUGAGACACGGUCCAGACUCCUACGGGAGGCAGCAGUGGGGAAUAUUGGGCAAUGGGCGCAAGCCUGAUCCAGCCAUACCGCGUGGGUGAAGAAGGCCUUCGGGUUGUAAAGCCCUUUUGUUGGGAAAGAAAAGCAGCAGGUUAAUACCCCGCUGUUCUGACGGUACCCAAAGAAUAAGCACCGGCUAACUUCGUG